rnacentral:rRNA from 1 species
UACGUAGGGGGCAAGCGUUGUCCGGAAUCAUUGGGCGUAAAGAGCGUGUAGGCGGCCUGAUAAGUCGGCUGUGAAAGUCAAGGGCUCAACCCUUGAAUGCCGGCCGAUACUGUCAGGCUAGAAUCCGGAAGAGGCGAGUGGAGUUCCUGGUGUAGCGGUGAAAUGCGCAGAUAUCAGGAGGAACACCUAUGGCGAAGGCAGCUCGCUGGGACGGUAUUGACGCUGAGACGCGAAAGCGUGGGGAGCGAACAGG